rnacentral:rRNA from 1 species
UACGUAGGGGGCAAGCGUUGUCCGGAAUCAUUGGGCGUAAAGAGCGUGUAGGCGGUCCGAUAAGUCGGCUGUGAAAGUCCAGGGCUCAACCCUGGGAUGCCGGUGGAUACUGUCGGGCUCGAGUCCGGAAGAGGAGUGUGGAAUUCCUGGUGUAGCGGUGAAAUGCGCAGAUAUCAGGAGGAACACCAAUGGCGAAGGCAGCACUCUGGGACGUGACUGACGCUGAGACGCGAAAGCGUGGGGAGCAAACAGG